GAUGAAGAACGUAGCGAAAUGCGAUACGUAGUGUGAAUUGCAGAAUUGAGUGAAUCAUCGAAUCUUUGAACGCACAUUGCACCUCUCGGUAUUCCGGGAGGUAUGCCUGUUCGAGCGUCAUUUGUACCCUCAAGCUCUGCUUGGUGUUGGGUGUUUGUUCCGCCUCUGUGUGUGAACUCGCCUCAAAACAAUUGGCAGCCGGCGUACUUGUUUCGGAGCGCAGCACAUUUUGCGAUCCAGAUCAACGUACAGCGGCAUCCAAGAAGCCUUAUUUAACGCUCUUGACCUCGGAUCAGGUAGGGAUACCCGCUGAACUUAAGCAUAUCAAUAAGCGGAGGA
rnacentral:misc_RNA from 1 species